UGGAAUAAACGGAGGAGGGAGAAAGAAGGAGAGACACAGAGACACAGAAAGUGGCAAGGAGCCGAGGCCCCCUACUGGUAGAGGUGUCUCUGGCGGGAGGCAGCGGGCCUGGUCUAGCGUGACUGACAGGAGGGGCUCCAGACACUGGAAGUGCAUGAGAAACAACGAGUCCACAGGAAAGCCUUAAGGCUUUGUAGAGGAACCACCACUGUCAAGAGGAAUAGAGCUGUGCUCCAGCUGGACCAGGAAUACAACCUGAGAGACAGAGAGAACAGAGCCGACCGGUUCUCCAACACUGUAGACUCCUCCACUGUCAGAAACAAAUCGGUGCAUCAUGGUCCUCCACAUUCCCUGGCAACUGCAGGCUUUGUCGUCAGCCCACAGCCCACAUCUGGACCCUCACAGUAAGGCAGAGGGAAUGCCAACACCCUAGGCAAAUGGGCAGGACCAGACUGGUGAUGGGGGUGUGAGGGAAAAUAACAAAACACCGACUUUUAAAAGCAGCAAGGCAGCCCAACUGGGUCCUAAAAUGUUUUGUCCAUCAGGGUCUGUGGUGGCACCAGGAGGAGUUAAACGUGGGACCCCUCUGGGUUGUACACUGCACACCAAUGUGAGAUUUAGGUGUCCAAACUGGGUCUCAGAAACAAUACGCAUACAAAUGCAGCGAGACCCACGUUCAACUGGAACCCACCUAACCCAUAUUUUAACCGUGAACCUGAAUGUUGGCUAGGUUAAUAGCACUUAGAAGCCAGUGUUUGGUUAAAAAGGUGAAAGGUGAUGCAGAAUUAAUGCAGAAUUAAGUCUCCUAGUAGAUGUUUAGCUGCAGCUUUCAUUUAUAUGCAAGCUAUAACCCAGUUACCUGUUGCUAAAAUCAGGACUUCCUAACCCAGUGUCCUCCCGCCCAGUCCAUGUCGGGCCAUUUCCUCCUGCCGCAGACACUCACACACACACACACACAGGCGGGUGAACCGGCUGCGGAUUCCUAAAAAAAAUGGUCUAAUAAUGCCUCUAAUAAAGUUGUGUUUCUAAAACUCA